UUUCCGUAGGUGAACCUGCGGAAGGAUCAUUAAAAAAUGGACCCUAUAAUGAGGGUCUAUUAAUAAUCCCACCCUUUGUGAAUUGUUGUUUGUUUUAUAAACUUUGUGUCUUUCCCUGUUUGUUUGAUGGGCUUGUUAAAACAAAUCAAAUUCAGGGGAAUGGCGAAACCAUUUUUUUAAAAUUAAAACUUUUUGUAUUCAUUUGUCUAAAAUUAUUUUUAUAAUAUAAAAACAACUUUUGACAAUGGAUCUCUUGGUUCUCGCAACGAUGAAGAACGCAGCAAAAUGCGAUAAGUAAUGUGAAUUGCAGAAUACGUGAAUCAUCGAAUCUUCGAACGCAUAUUGCACUUUUUGGUUUACCAAAAAAAGUAUGUCUGUUUGAGUAUCAGUAAAAUAUUCUCAUAAAAACUUUUUUGUUUUUAUGGUUAUGAGUGUUUACAACGAUAAACAAGUUGUUUCACUUUAAAUUCUUUGUCUUUUAAAAAAAUCAUUUAAAAACUGAUUUUUUUUAAAAUUGGAUAAAAUUUCCCGUAAAAAGGAAUAACCUAAACAAUUUUAAGAAUGAAUUAGUUUGAUUUUUUAAAAAAAGACCAAAAGGAAAAAAGGUAAAAAUUAACUUGAUCUCAAAUCAGAUAAGAGUACCCGCUGAACUUAAGCAUAUCAAUAAGCGGAGGAAAAGAAACUAGCUAGGAUUCCUCAGUAACGGCGAGUGAAGCGGAAGAGCUCAAAUUUGAAAUCUUCAAGGUUCUACCUUGACGAAUUGUAGUUUAAAGGAGUGUUUUCUGUUGGAGUUUUGGUAAAAGUUCUUUGGAAUAGGACAUCAUAGAGGGUGAGAAUCCCGUAUUUGACCAUUAUUUCCAACUUUGUGAUACACUUUCAAAGAGUCGGAUUGUUUGGGAAUGCAGUCCAAAAUGGGUGGUAAAUUUCAUCUAAAGCUAAAUACUGGCGAGAGACCGAUAGCGAACAAGUACCGUGAGGGAAAGAUGAAAAGAACUUUGAAAAGAGAGUUAAACAGUACGUGAAAUUGUCAAAAGGAAGCGUUUGACACCAGUGUGUUUUCUCGAAAUCAAUUAAAAAUGGUGGGAUGUUGUGUUGUAUUGACUUUAUCAGCUUCUGCACUUUUUUCUGUCUUUUUUAAUGCACUUUUCGUUUAACAAGUCAACAUCAAUUUCUUUUGCUGUAAAAGAGUCAUUGGAAGGUGGCUUUCUUUUCGGAGAAAGUGUUUAUAGCCUUUGGCUUCUGCAGUCGGAGAGAUUGAGGUCUGCAGCGUAGAUCCUUCGGGUUAGAUACAUUUGUGCUAAGUUAUAGCCUUUCAUAGACAACUUGUUGACUAUGAUCAGUCAUGUAGCUUACUCGCUUAUGCUAUUU
rnacentral:misc_RNA from 1 species